rnacentral:rRNA from 1 species
UACGUAGGUGACAAGCGUUGUCCGGAUUUAUUGGGCGUAAAGAGCGUGUAGGCGGCCUGACAGGUCUGCUGUGAAAACUCGAGGCUCAACCUCGAGAUGUCGGCGGAAACCGUCUGGCUAGAGUCCGGAAGAGGAGAGUGGAAUUCCUGGUGUAGCGGUGAAAUGCGCAGAUAUCAGGAAGAACACCUAUGGCGAAGGCAGCUCUCUGGGACGGUACUGACGCUGAGACGCGAAAGCGUGGGGAGCGAACAGG